UGGCGCACGGGUGCGUAACGCGUAUGCAACUUACCUUAAACUGGGAGAUAGCCCCUCGAAAGAGGGAUUAAUACCCCAUAGUAAUUAGAUGAGGCAUCUCAUUUAGUUUAAAGCUCUGGCGGUUUAAGAUAGGCAUGCGUGACAUUAGCUAGUUGGUGAGGUAAUGGCUCACCAAGGCUACGAUGUCUAGGGGUUCUGAGAGGAUGAUCCCCCACACUGGUACUGAGACACGGACCAGACUCCUACGGGAGGCAGCAGUAAGGAAUAUUGGUCAAUGGGCGCAAGCCUGAACCAGCCAUGCCGCGUGAAGGAUGACGGCCCUAUGGGUUGUAAACUUCUUUUGUACGGGAAUAAACCCAGGUACGUGUACUGGCUGAAUGUACCGUAAGAAUAAGGAUCGGCUAACUCCGUGCCAGCAGCCGCGGUAAUACGGAGGAUCCAAGCGUUAUCCGGAUUCAUUGGGUUUAAAGGGUGCGUAGGCGGACUUAUAAGUCAGUGGUGAAAUCCUGCAGCUUAACUGCAGAACUGCCAUUGAUACUGUAAGUCUUGAGUGUGUUUGAAGUGGGCGGAAUGUGUCAUGUAGCGGUGGAAUGCUUAGAUAUGACACAGAACACCGAUUGCGUAGGCAGCUCACUAAACCACAACUGACGCUGAGGCACGACAGCGUGGGGAUCAAACAGGAUUAGAUACCCUGGUAGUCCACGCCGUAAACUAUGAUUACUCGAUGUUGGCGAUAUACUGUCAGCGUCUAAGCUAAAGCGUUAAGUAAUCCACCUGGGGAGUACGGUCGCAAGAUUGAAA
rnacentral:rRNA from 1 species